rnacentral:rRNA from 1 species
CGGGACACGUGGUAUCCUGUCUGAAUAUGGGGGGACCAUCCUCCAAGGCUAAAUACUCCUGACUGACCGAUAGUGAACCAGUACCGUGAGGGAAAGGCGAAAAGAACCCCGGCGAGGGGAGUGAAAAAGAACCUGAAACCGUGUACGUACAAGCAGUGGGAGCACGCUUAGGCGUGUGACUGCGUACCUUUUGUAUAAUGGGUCAGCGACUUAUAUUCUGUAGCAAGGUUAACCGAAUAGGGGAGCCGAAGGGAAACCGAGUCUUAACUGGGCGUUAAGUUGCAGGGUAUAGACCCGAAACCCGGUGAUCUAGCCAUGGGCAGGUUGAAGGUUGGGUAACACUAACUGGAGGACCGAACCGACUAAUGUUGAAAAAUUAGCGGAUGACUUGUGGCUGGGGGUGAAAGGCCAAUCAAACCGGGAGAUAGCUGGUUCUCCCCGAAAGCUAUUUAGGUAGCGCCUCGUGAAUUCAUCUCCGGGGGUAGAGCACUGUUUCGGCAAGGGGGUCAUCCCGACUUACCAACCCGAUGCAAACUGCGAAUACCGGAGAAUGUUAUCACGGGAGACACACGGCGGGUGCUAACGUCCGUCGUGAAGAGGGAAACAACCCAGACCGCCAGCUAAGGUCCCAAAGUCAUGGUUAAGUGGGAAACGAUGUGGGAAGGCCCAGACAGCCAGGAUGUUGGCUUAGAAGCAGCCAUCAUUUAAAGAAAGCGUAAUAGCUCACUGGUCGAGUCGGCCUGCGCGGAAGAUGUAACGGGGCUAAACCAUGCACCGAAGCUGCGGCAGCGACGCUGAUGCGUUGUUGGGUAGGGGAGCGUUCUGUAAGCCUGCGAAGGUGUGCUGUGAGGCAUGCUGGAGGUAUCAGAAGUGCGAAUGCUGACAUAAGUAACGAUAAAGCGGGUGAAAAGCCCGCUCGCCGGAAGACCAAGGGUUCCUGUCCAACGUUAAUCGGGGCAGGGUGAGUCGACCCCUAAGGCGAGGCCGAAAGGCGUAGUCGAUGGGAAACAGGUUAAUAUUCCUGUACUUGGUGUUACUGCGAAGGGGGGACGGAGAAGGCUAUGUUGGCCGGGCGACGGUUGUCCCGGUUUAAGCGUGUAGGCUGGUUUUCCAGGCAAAUCCGGAAAAUCAAGGCUGAGGCGUGAUGACGAGGCACUACGGUGCUGAAGCAACAAAUGCCCUGCUUCCAGGAAAAGCCUCUAAGCAUCAGGUAACAUCAAAUCGUACCCCAAACCGACACAGGUGGUCAGGUAGAGAAUACCAAGGCGCUUGAGAGAACUCGGGUGAAGGAACUAGGCAAAAUGGUGCCGUAACUUCGGGAGAAGGCACGCUGAUAUGUAGGUGAAGUCCCUCGCGG